rnacentral:lncRNA from 1 species
UUAUUGCACAUAGCCAUAGCCUCAGCAGCAGCAGUCCCUUCGUCGAGCAAUGAAGCAUUCGACAUGGGCAAUCCAGUGAGAUCCGUAAUCAUGGUUUGAUAAUUAAGCAAGGACUCCAACCUCCCCUGAGAUAUCUCAGCUUGAUAAGGUGUGUACUGUGUGUACCAAGCUGGAUUCUCCAUUAUGUUUCUCAAAAUAACUGGUGGAACAUGUGUGUUAUAAUAUCCCAUCCCUAUAUAUGACUUAAAAACCUUAUUCUUUGAUGCCAAUUUUUUCAUGUGCUCAAUCAUUUGGCUCUCAGUUAGCCCUUCAUCAAACUUAGAGAACUUCAUUGAAUCAAUUCUAAUUGAUUUAGGCACAGUGGCAUCUAUCAAAGAAUCAAGAUUAUCAAACCCACAUAACUCAGCCAUUUUAGUUUGCUCCUCUGGAGGAGCAGAGUUAUGGCGGCGGGGAAAAGUAUCACUGGCUUUCAAAGACUCAACAGAUAUGGAUCGAACUUGUGAAACACCACCAUAAUAACCACCACCAGCAUUAUGGGUAACAAUAUUUUUGCUUCCUAGCAACAUCCCUGAUCUGGGAUUUCUAGAAGCAAAAGAAGACAACGAUGAGACAUACCUCGAAGGAGUGUACAAUACAGGAGAAGAAGAGUUCAACAGAGUUGAAGACUCAUGGCAGCUCUGGUGGUUGCAUUGCUUGGAUUCACUCAGCAGCCUCUUCAAGAUAGCCCUGUUAGCCAGACGCCUUGCACGUUCCAUGAAUGUGAUGUAGAGA